GAACAAGCGAUGAACGGGAAGAGUAGGCCAGGACGCCUUGGCAGAGAGGGAGAAUCAUCUGCUGCGAGAUUCUCUAAGGCAGGGAAUGGCCGAAGGUCGCCCGGGAGUUGUUUCGGUGAAGCGGUGCCGCUUAGCCGAAACCGGUCAACAGCCGUUAUGUGUCAGAGGGAACGCACGUCCCCGCCUGUUUUCCGGGAGGUCGUGCGUUAACAAAGGUGGUACCGCGAAACAAUCCUUUCGUCCUUUGG
rnacentral:ncRNA from 1 species